rnacentral:rRNA from 1 species
UCAAGUAAGUAAGGGCGUACGGCGGAUGCCUUGGCCAUAUCAGCCGAAGAAGGACGCGAUAAGCUGCGAUAAGCUGCGGUGAGGUGCAAGUAACCUUUGACCCGCAGAUCUCCGAAUGGGGAAACCCGGCAGCAGUAGUGCUGUCAUCCUCUAUGAGGAAGGGCACCCGGUGAACUGAAACAUCUAAGUAGCCGGAGGAAAAGGAAUCAACAGAGAUACCCCUAGUAGCGGCGAGCGAACGGGGCAGAGCCCAAACCGGAAUGGGAAACCAAUCCGGGGUUGUGGACUGCUAUCAAAUGCAUGAGUGAAGCAGAAUGAGCUGGGAAGCUCAGCCAGAGAGAGUGAGAGCCUCGUAGGCGUAAGCGAGUGCAUGGAGCAGGAUCCGGAGUACCACGGGACACGAGAAACCCUGUGGGAAGCUGGGGGGACCACCCUCCAAGGCGAAACACUGAUAUGGACCGAUAGCGCAUAGUACCGUGAGGGAAAGGUGAAAAGAACCCCGGGAGGGGAAUGAAAGAGAACCUGAAACCGUAUGUCUACAAGCAGUCGAAGACCUUUAUAUGGUCGACGGCGUGCCUAUUGAAGAAUGAACCGGCGAGUUACUUCAGCUAGCGAGGUUAAGCAGAAAAUGCGGAGCCGCAGCGAAAGCGAGUCUGAACAGGGCGUAUAGUUAGUUGGAGUAGACCCGAAACCACAGUGAUCUACCCAUGUCCAGGUUGAAGCACAGGUAAAAAUGUGUGGAGGACCGAACCAGUGAGCGUUGAAAAGCUUUUGGAUGAGAUGUGGGUAGGGGUGAAAUGCCAAUCGAACGUGGAGAUAGCUGGUUCUCCCCGAAAUAGCUUUAGGGCUAGCCUCAUGGCGAGAGUACAGGCGGUAGAGCACUGAACGGGGUAGGGGCCUAUCCGGCUACUGAACCUAAUCAAACUGCGAAUGGCUGUACUUAUCCAUGGGAGUCAGACUGUGAGUAAUAAGGCCCAUAGUCAAGAGGGAAACAGCCCAGACCAACAGCUAAGGUCCCCAAUGCCGUACUAAGUGGCGAAGGAUGUGGAAUUUCGAAAACAACCAGGAUGUUGGCUCAGAAGCAGCCACCAUUAAAAGAGUGCGUAAUAGCUCACUGGUCGAGAGACUCUGCGCCGAAGAUGUCCGGGGCUAAAGUACGGAACCGAAGCUUUGGCAAUUAACAUAAGUUAAUUGGGUAGGGGAGCGUUCCUGCAUGGGAGAAGCCUGACCGGAAGGACAGGUGGACAGGCAGGAAGAGAGAAUGCCGGUAUGAGUAGCGAAAAGAAGGGUGAGAAUCCCUUCCACCGAAAGCCUAAGGGUUCCUGGGCAACGAUCGUCGUCCCAGGGUAAGUCGGGACCUAAUCCGAGGCGGAGACGCGUAGGAGAUGGACAACAGGUUGAAAUUCCUGUACUGGCUGAGGCCGUUUGAGCGAAGGAGUGACACAGGAAGGAAGGCGCGCGUGCGAUUGGAAGAGCACGUCCAAGCAGGUAGGUCGGGAGACAGGCAAAUCCGUUUCCCGUAAGGCCGAGAUGCGAUGGGGAGCUUCUGGAGACAGAAGCGAAGGGGCUGGCACUAAACUGUCGAGAAAAGCUUCUAGUGAGGACUCAGGCACCCGUACCGAAACCGACACAGGUAGGCAGGAUGAGAAUUCUAAGGUGCGCGGGAAAACCCUCGUUAAGGAACUCGGCAAAAUAUAUCCGUAACUUCGGGAAAAGGAUAACCCAGCGUACGUGAAGUGCAGAAGCGCAUGGAGCGGAGAUGGGUGGCAGAAGAGAGGCCCAAGCGACUGUUUACCACAAACACAGGCGUCUGCUAAAGCGAAAGCUGAUGUAUAGAUGCUGACACCUGCCCGGUGCUGGAAGGUUAAGAGGAAGUGUUAGCGCAAGCGAAGCAGUGAAUUGAAGCCCCAGUAAACGGCGGCCGUAACUAUAACGGUCCUAAGGUAGCGAAAUUCCUUGUCGGGUAAGUUC